CAUAAAGCUAAAACUCAAGAUCCUCAAUUAGUGAAGAUUAUAGAUAUUAUUCAGAAUGGAUCUCAAGUAGAUUUUUAUAGUUAGGAAGGAUGGUACUUUAAUGUAUGAAAGUCAUAUAUGUGCUCCAGAGGUAGGAAAUCUUAAAAAGUAGAUAAUGGAGGAAGCUCACUGUUUAGCUUAUGCCAUGCAUCCGAGAAGCACUAAGAUGUACCGAACUAUCAAGCAAAAUUAUUGGUAGAAUGGUAUGAAGAGAGAGAUAGCUGAAUAUGUAUCUAGAUAUUUGGUGUGCCAAAAGGUAAAGAUAGAAUAUUAGGGCCC
rnacentral:lncRNA from 1 species